GCGACACCUGCUUCGUCCGCAGUAAAAAUAAUCCCAGGGUCAAAAGGACUAAUCUUCGUGUCACGGACGUGCAGGUCGUAUAUCUGUGAAUCAGUCUAGGUAGGUAAUCACGUGACUAAAGUGGCUAUGACGACGGGAUACUUAAACUUAAAAGGAGGCUUCAAGAAGAGAUAAGACAGUCCGACUUCGGUGCUCUCAGGUGCGGGGCAGAAAGCUGAACAUUGCGCAACUCGAGCUUUUUUCUGGAUCUUCUGUACGGCAUAAGGAAACCAUGGCCUGCAAGCUGGCGUUGUUGCUGGGUCUGUCUGCCCUCCUGACGGUCCUGAUGGUGCACCCGGCAGACUCGGCCUGCUGCCGCGCUACUAAGAGGCAGUGCAGCGGUGGCUGGUGGAAGCGGUGCUCCGAUCGCUGUCACGAUGGGACUAAGGGAACGCCCUACUGUGGAUACGGGCCCUGCAAC